GGUGAUAUGAACCGUUAUAACCGGCGAUACCCGAAUGGGGAAACCCAGUGUGUUUCGACACACUAUCAUGUCAUGAAUACAUAGUGGCAUGAGGCGAACCGGGGGAACUGAAACAUCUAAGUACCCCGAGGAAAAGAAAUCAACCGAGAUUCCCCCAGUAGCGGCGAGCGAACGGGGAGGAGCCCAGAACCUGAAUCGGCUUGUGUGUUAGUGGAAGCGUCUGGAAAGUCGCGCAGCAAAGGGUGAUAGCCCCGUACACUAAAAUGCACAGGUCGUGAGUUCGAUGAGUAGGGCGGGACACGUGACAUCCUGUCUGAAUAUGGGGGGACCAUCCUCCAAGGCUAAAUACUCCUGACUGACCGAUAGUGAACCAGUACCGUGAGGGAAAGGCGAAAAGAACCCCGGCGAGGGGAGUGAAAUAGAACCUGAAACCGUGUACGUACAAGCAGUGGGAGCACCUUCGUGGUGUGACUGCGUACCUUUUGUAUAAUGGGUCAGCGACUUAUAUUUUGUAGCAAGGUUAACCGUAUAGGGGAGCCGUAGGGAAACCGAGUCUUAACUGGGCGAAUAGUUGCAAGGUAUAGACCCGAAACCCGGUGAUCUAGCCAUGGGCAGGUUGAAGGUUGGGUAACACUAACUGGAGGACCGAACCGACUAAUGUUGAAAAAUUAGCGGAUGACUUGUGGCUGGGGGUGAAAGGCCAAUCAAACCGGGAGAUAGCUGGUUCUCCCCGAAAGCUAUUUAGGUAGCGCCUCGUGAACUCAUCUUCGGGGGUAGAGCACUGUUUCGGCUAGGGGGCCAUCCCGGCUUACCAAACCGAUGCAAACUCCGAAUACCGAAGAAUGUUAUCACGGGAGACACACGGCGGGUGCUAACGUCCGUCGUGAAGAGGGAAACAACCCAGACCGCCAGCUAAGGUCCCAAAGUCAUGGUUAAGU
rnacentral:rRNA from 1 species